rnacentral:rRNA from 1 species
GACGAACGCUGGCGGCGUGCCCAAUACAUGCAAGUAGAACGCUGAAGGAGGAGCUUGCUUCUCUGGAUGAGUUGCGAACGGGUGAGUAACGCGUAGGUAACCUGCCUGGUAGCGGGGGAUAACUAUUGGAAACGAUAGCUAAUACCGCAUAACAGUAGAUGUUGCAUGACAUUUGCUUAAAAGGUGCAAUUGCAUCACUACCAGAUGGACCUGCGUUGUAUUAGCUAGUUGGUGGGGUAACGGCUCACCAAGGCGACGAUACAUAGCCGACCUGAGAGGGUGAUCGGCCACACUGGGACUGAGACACGGCCCAGACUCCUACGGGAGGCAGCAGUAGGGAAUCUUCGGCAAUGGACGGAAGUCUGACCGAGCAACGCCGCGUGAGUGAAGAAGGUUUUCGGAUCGUAAAGCUCUGUUGUAAGAGAAGAAUGAGUGUGAGAGUGGAAAGUUCACACUGUGACGGUAUCUUACCAGAAAGGGACGGCUAACUACGUGCCAGCAGCCGCGGUAAUACGUAGGUCCCGAGCGUUGUCCGGAUUUAUUGGGCGUAAAGCGAGCGCAGGCGGUUAGAUAAGUCUGAAGUUAAAGGCUGUGGCUUAACCAUAGUACGCUUUGGAAACUGUCUAACUUGAGUGCUGUAGGGGAGAGUGGAAUUCCAUGUGUAGCGGUGAAAUGCGCAGAUAUCAGGAGGAACACCGAUGGCGAAGGCAGGUCUCUGGGCAGUAACUGACGCUGAGGAGCGAAAGCAUGGGUAGCGAACAGGAUUAGAUACCCUGGUAGUCCAUGCCGUAAACGGUGGGCGCUAGGUGUAGGGGGCUUCCACGUCUUCUGUGCCGUAGCUAACGCAUUAAGCGCCCCGCCUGGGGAGUACGGCCGCAAGGCUAAAACUCAAAGGAAUUGACGGGGGCCCGCACAAGCGGCGGAGCAUGUGGAUUAAUUCGAUGCAACGCGAGGAACCUUACCUGGGCUUGACAUAUAGCGGAUCGCUGCAGAGAUGUAGUUUCCCUUUGUGGUCGUUAUACAGGUGGUGCAUGGUUGUCGUCAGCUCGUGUCGUGAGAUGUUGGGUUAAGUCCCGCAACGAGCGCAACCCUUGUCUUAUGUUGCCAGCAUUUGGUUGGGGACUCAUGAGAGACUGCCGGGGUCAACUCGGAGGAAGGUGGGGAUGACGUCAAAUCAUCAUGCCCCUUAUGUCCAGGGCUUCACACAUGCUACAAUGGCCGGUACAACGCGCAGCGACACUGUGAGGUGGAGCGAAUCGCUGAAAGCCGGCCUUAGUUCGGAUUGGGGUCUGCAACUCGACCCCAUGAAGUCGGAGUCGCUAGUAAUCGCAGAUCAGCAACGCUGCGGUGAAUACGUUCCCGGGCCU